UGGGUACCUGCUAUUCAUUUUCUUGUAGGGGUGGAGCAGUUUAAAAUUUUCCACAGCCGUUGAUUGGGCGCUGCAUAUGUCAGUCAGUCUGGGGCAGUUGAAGCUCACAGCCAAUCGUGUCACUGCUAGCCGCUGACGUAAAUGCAGAGCGACGGCAGCACCACGAAAAAGAAUCAUUGCUGUGUUUGCUCAUGUGUUUGCUUCUUUCGCCAUGUCGCCGGACGAUUCUUGCCGUUUAUGUAAAGUAAACAUGAGGGAAAGUGGACCCCGUGUUUAUGCACACUCCACAGAUAUGUUUGUGUCAAAAACAACGCCGACCAUAUCAGAUAGGUUAGCGAUGAUGGACCUGAUAGUCACCCCGGAGCCGGAGCAGUCAAACAGAUGCUGCCAGCGCUGCACCUCCACACUCGGUCGGCUUGAAAAAGACUUUCCUUUAUUCAGGCAAUGGGAAGAGAACGUCCGGUUAAGCAGCGUAUCGAAAAGACAACGUGAACCCACCCCGUCCAAGACACGAGGACUUUGAAAAAGACCUGCCCAAACCCACCGAGUCCACUAGCUUGUUCCUUCGGAAACACGACAACAAAGGUUUCUAUCAAUUAUCCAACUCAAACACUGACGAGGGAGUGCCAUCCUGAGGAAGAUCCCAUAAUUAAAUCCAUAGCUCUGAAGAGAUGGAAAGAGGCUGCCAGUCAUGCACUGAAGCAUCGUCACCUGCAAGACGAAAUCAAAGAUGAAGUCAUCAAGUUAAUAAGAAAAGAAUGCGAUGUACUGUGCUCUCGCAAGUAUGACUUCAUUCUGUGGAAGUCUAAACCGGCAGACCUCAAGUCAUUCUCCUUCAAAUGUUUAAGAGAUGACCUCCAUCGGCUUGCUCCCUUUCUACUUUCAUUUUUCAACUGUGUCACAAACAACAACGACUUAGCUAGCUGUACUGCUGCAGCCAUUGCAAUAAGAGGCAGAAAACCGCAGCUAGCAGCAUUAUCGUAUUGGAUCAACACAGUUCUCCAGUAUGGCGGAGCAAAAAAGUCUGUCUUCAAUCGCCUCUCAAAAUUGUCGAUCACCACAUCCCAUAGGAAAGCAGUUAAAAAGCAACACGAGUUGGCACUUGGCUGUGGGGUUGAUUUUGUAGAAUUUAAAAGUGGCUUGAAAGCUACAGACACUGAACUGUCAGAGGGAUCAGAAAGCCUUGAGGACUUUCAUCUCACAGAUGAAAACCUCACAACAGCCCCCAGACAUGAAGAGAGUCCUGUGACCUGCCCACCAUCAUACCAAAUAAUUAUGGACAACCUGGAUUUUUUUGUACACACUCACAGCCAGUCCAUCAACAACACCAACAAGAGUAUACACUGGAUACACCAUCUUGCAGUCAAAGACCGUGUACCUACACAUCACUUCUCUAACAUCAAACCAACAACAGACAUUCAACAGUACAAUCUGAAAUCCUCACUUCCUCAGCGGAGCACUCAGGCUUUAAUGCGCAGGGAAUUUAUUGUUCUUGCCACUAGAAUGCUGACAAAGUACAUGUCAGUAUUCGAAAGCUUUGGAGAGUCAGUGGUUAAUCACAUUCCUCAUCAGUAUUCCAGUGAAAUGUCAGCAAGAUCAACUGAUGUAAGUUGGAACAUAUUGUAUUUUUUCAACACUGCAUACAUCUCUGAUGUACUCUUUCCUCUCUAAAGUUCCCCUUAGGCCUCUUUUUUAAAAAUGAGAACCAGAGAGGUGACUUAGUGGAAGUCUUGAGAGAAAUUCAGCAAGAGCACAUGCUCAAAGACGCUGAUUGUGUGCAACACUUACUAAUUGGAGGGGACCGUCUCACAGAGGCUAACUGUCGCAAUGUGCAGUGGGGAUUUUCAGACGCAGAUACUAAGGAGGAAAGAAUGGAGGGAAUGCAUUUUAAAUUUGAGGACUGGCAUGCUAUCAGAGUUCUGUUUGAGAUCCAUCACAAGAUCUUUUUCAAAGAGUCCACCACAGACCAUGGCACACUAUUUGCGAACAUGACCAAGUUGAGUUUCUGAUGACUCAAUCAACUGUGAACAUGGCUGUUCUUUGUUCUGGGAUGGGAAAUGCAGACAUCAUGAAUUCAGCUCUGCUGUUCCCGGGGAUGUUGGUUGUGACAUUGGCAGGGUGCAGCGCUGCCAAGAGUGGACCUCAUUCAGCAUUCAAUGCUUACAGGGACUUUGUGAUCAAGGACACAACAGCCCUAUUCCUAGCAGCUGUGAUUGAGCAUCUUGGUUUUCUUCAUGUCACAGAUUGUCCUGAGUCCCUCAUACCACAGCACAUCAAGGAGGCCUCUCCAGAAGCAAGAAGAUCAUGGUUCAACAAAUUAACAGCUGAAAUUGUGGACAAAUAUGUUCUUCUUCCUGGCAUCACAGAAGCUGCAGAGUCUGCUAGAAAAGCAUCUGCAACACCGGUUCUAAAGAAUCAGUUCCCAUGUCGAAUGGAGGGUUGUUCACGCACAUUCACAUAUUACAAAAGCAGACUAACCCAUGAACAGAAAAUGCACAACCUGGUUAUUCCAACUGACACACCCCAGCCAUCAGCUCAGAUCGCGAUCACAAGUAUGAACACACUGUUGCCAGAUUGGGUUUCAGCUUCAUUCUUUUGGACUU